rnacentral:rRNA from 1 species
AGAGUUUGAUCAUGGCUCAGGACGAACGCUGGCGGCGUGCUUAACACAUGCAAGUCGAACGGUAAGGCCCCUUCGGGGGUACACGAGUGGCGAACGGGUGAGUAACACGUGGGUGACCUGCCCUGUACUUCGGGAUAAGCCUGGGAAACUGGGUCUAAUACCGGAUAUGACCUUCCCCUGCAUGGGGGUUGGUGGAAAGCUUUUGCGGUACAGGAUGGGCCCGCGGCCUAUCAGCUUGUUGGUGGGGUAAUGGCCUACCAAGGCGACGACGGGUAGCCGGCCUGAGAGGGCGACCGGCCACACUGGGACUGAGACACGGCCCAGACUCCUACGGGAGGCAGCAGUGGGGAAUAUUGCACAAUGGGCGAAAGCCUGAUGCAGCGACGCCGCGUGAGGGAUGACGGCCUUCGGGUUGUAAACCUCUUUCAGUAGGGACGAAGCGCAAGUGACGGUACCUACAGAAGAAGCACCGGCCAACUACGUGCCAGCAGCCGCGGUAAUACGUAGGGUGCGAGCGUUGUCCGGAUUUACUGGGCGUAAAGAGCUCGUAGGCGGUUUGUCACGUCGUCUGUGAAAACCCGAGGCUUAACCUCGGGCCUGCAGGCGAUACGGGCAGACUUGAGUACUGUAGGGGAGACUGGAAUUCCUGGUGUAGCGGUGGAAUGCGCAGAUAUCAGGAGGAACACCGGUGGCGAAGGCGGGUCUCUGGGCAGUAACUGACGAUGAGGAGCGAAAGCGUGGGUAGCGAACAGGAUUAGAUACCCUGGUAGUCCACGCCGUAAACGGUGGGUACUAGGUGUGGGUUUCCUUCCACGGGAUCCGUGCCGUAGCUAACGCAUUAAGUACCCCGCCUGGGGAGUACGGCCGCAAGGCUAAAACUCAAAGGAAUUGACGGGGGCCCGCACAAGCGGCGGAGCAUGUGGAUUAAUUCGAUGCAACGCGAAGAACCUUACCUGGGUUUGACAUAUAGAGGAUCGCCGGAGAGAUUCGGUUUGCCUUGUGCCUUCUAUACAGGUGGUGCAUGGCCGUCGUCAGCUCGUGUCGUGAGAUGUUGGGUUAAGUCCCGCAACGAGCGCAACCCUUGUCUCAUGUUGCCAGCACGUAAUGGUGGGGACUCGUGAGAGACUGCCGGGGUCAACUCGGAGGAAGGUGGGGAUGACGUCAAGUCAUCAUGCCCCUUAUGUCCAGGGCUUCACACAUGCUACAAUGGCGCGUACAGAGGGCUGCGAUACCGCGAGGUGGAGCGAAUCCCUUAAAGCGCGUCUCAGUUCGGAUUGGGGUCUGCAACUCGACCCCAUGAAGUCGGAGUCGCUAGUAAUCGCAGAUCAGCAACGCUGCGGUGAAUAUGUUCCCGGGCCUUGUACACACCGCCCGUCACGUCAUGAAAGUCGGUAACACCCGAAGCCGGUGGCCUAACCCCUUGUGGGAGGGAGCUGUCGAAGGUGGGAUUGGCGAUUGGGACGAAGUCGUAACAAGGUAGCCGUA